GACUAAUCCUAACCCUUGGAUUAAUGUUUUCCAAUUCAAUCCUAGCCAUUAAUAUCUUUUAAGGAAUUAAAAGGAAAAAGAAAAAUAAAGAAAAAGAAGUUGUCUUCAUUCUUCAUUUUGGCCGUAUGGGUUUUUGGAGAAAGAACACUCCAUCUGUUUUGCUAUUUUUUUUCCUUCCAUUAUUCCACCAAAUUCUCACCUCUCUACACAAAUUCACCCACAAAAGCUUCUUUUACCAAGAUUGUUUACAUGAUUUGGUGGCUAUUUUGAAGAGAAAGAAGUUGAGAAAAGAAAAGAGAGCAAAGGAAAAGAGAAGUUGGAAGCUUAAAGAAAGAAGCGGAGAAAAGGAAUUGAAGCUAGUAUAGCUUAAUUUUGGUAGUAGAUAGGAGCAGUGAAGAUAAUAUUUCUGUAUUUGCGCAAGUCGGAGUCACAUACAUUGGCACAGGUGGA